rnacentral:rRNA from 1 species
UACGUAGGGUGCAAGCGUUGCCCGGAUUUAUUGGGCGUGAAGGGCGCGUAGGCGGCUCGGCACGUCCGUUGUGAAAUCGCCCGGCUCAACUGGGCGGGGUCAGCGGAUACGGCCGAGCUUGAGCAAGCUAGGGGGCAAUGGAAUUCCCGGUGUAGUGGUGGAAUGCGUAGAUAUCGGGAGGAACACCAGUGGCGAAGGCGGUUGCCUGGAGCUUUGCUGACGCUGAUGCGCGAAAGCGUGGGGAGCGAUCCGG